rnacentral:rRNA from 1 species
AUUGAACGCUGGCGGAAUGCUUUACACAUGCAAGUCGAACGGCAGCACGGACUUCGGUCUGGUGGCGAGUGGCGAACGGGUGAGUAAUACAUCGGAACGUGUCCAAUCGUGGGGGAUAACGUAGCGAAAGCUACGCUAAUACCGCAUACGAUCUAAGGAUGAAAGGGGGGGAUCGCAAGACCUCGCGCGAUUGGAGCGGCGGAUGGCAGAUUAGGUAGUUGGUAGGGGAAAGGCCUACCAAGCCGACGAUCUGUAGCUGGUCUGAGAGGAUGAUCAGCCACACUGGGACUGAGACACGGCCCAGACUCCUACGGGAGGCAGCAGUGGGGAAUUUUGGACAAUGGACGCAAGUCUGAUCCAGCCAUUCCGCGUGCAGGAUGAAGGCCCUCGGGUUGUAAACUGCUUUUGUACAGAACGAAAAGGCUCUGGUUAAUACCUAGGGCUCAUGACGGUACUGUAAGAAUAAGCACCGGCUAACUACGUGCCAGCCGCCGCAGUAA